GAUGUAAGCCCUUCGGGGUGGAUAGUGGCGAACGGGUGAGUAACACGUGGGCAAUCUGCCCUGCACUCUGGGACAUGCCCUGGUUACGGGGUCUAAUACCGGAUAUGACCAUCUUGGGCAUCCUUGAUGGUGUAAAGCUCCGGCGGUGCAGGAUGAGCCCGCGGCCUAUCAGCUUGUUGGUGAGGUAAUGGCUCACCAAGGCGACGACGGGUAGCCGGCCUGAGAGGGCGACCGGCCACACUGGGACUGAGACACGGCCCAGACUCCUACGGGAGGCAGCAGUGGGGAAUAUUGCACAAUGGGCGAAAGCCUGAUGCAGCGACGCCGCGUGAGGGAUGACGGCCUUCGGGUUGUAAACCUCUUUCAGCAGGGAAGAAGCGAAAGUGACGGUACCUGCAGAAGAAGCGCCGGCUAACUACGUGCCAGCAGCCGCGGUAAUACGUAGGGCGCAAGCGUUGUCCGGAAUUAUUGGGCGUAAAGAGCUCGUAGGCGGCUUGUCACGUCGAUUGUGAAAGCUCGGGGCUUAACCCCGAGUCUGCAGUCGAUACGGGCUAGCUAGAGUGUGGUAGGGGGAGAUCGGGAAUUCCUGGUGUAGCGGUGAAAUGCGCAGAUAUCAGA
rnacentral:rRNA from 1 species